rnacentral:rRNA from 1 species
AUUGAACGCUGGCGGCAGGCCUAACACAUGCAAGUCGAGCGGUAGAGAGAAGCUUGCUUCUCUUGAGAGCGGCGGACGGGUGAGUAAUGCCUAGGAAUCUGCCUGGUAGUGGGGGAUAACGUUCGGAAACGGACGCUAAUACCGCAUACGUCCUACGGGAGAAAGCAGGGGACCUUCGGGCCUUGCGCUAUCAGAUGAGCCUAGGUCGGAUUAGCUAGUUGGUGAGGUAAUGGCUCACCAAGGCGACGAUCCGUAACUGGUCUGAGAGGAUGAUCAGUCACACUGGAACUGAGACACGGUCCAGACUCCUACGGGAGGCAGCAGUGGGGAAUAUUGGACAAUGGGCGAAAGCCUGAUCCAGCCAUGCCGCGUGUGUGAAGAAGGUCUUCGGAUUGUAAAGCACUUUAAGUUGGGAGGAAGGGCAGUUACCUAAUACGUAAUUGUUUUGACGUUACCGACAGAAUAAGCACCGGCUAACUCUGUGCCAGCAGCCGCGGUAA